rnacentral:rRNA from 1 species
CCUACGGGUGGCAGCAGUAGGGAAUAUUGCUCAAUGGGGGAAACCCUGAAGCAGCCACGUCGCGUGGAGGAUGAAGGCUCUCGGAUUGUUAACCCCUUUUGUUAGAGAAGAUAAUGAAGGUAUCUAACGAAUAAGCAACGGGUAAAUCCGUGCCAGCAGCCGCGGUAAUACGGCGGGUGGAAGCGUUACUCGGAAUCACUGGGCGGAAAGAGCGCGUAGGCGGGGUAGCAAGACAGAUGUGAAAUCCUAUGGCUUAACCAUAGAACUGAAGUUGAAACUGUUAUUCUAGAGUAGGGGAGAGGUAGGUGGAAUGCUUGGUGUAGCGGUGAAAUGCGUAGAGAUCAAGAAGAACACUGAUGGCGAAGGCGGCCUGCUAGAACAUAACUGACGCUGAUGCACGAAAGCGUGGGGAGCAAACAGGAUUAGAUACCCUAGUAGUC